AUUGAACGCUGGCGGCAUGCCUUACACAUGCAAGUCGAACGGUAACAGGUUAAGCUGACGAGUGGCGAACGGGUGAGUAAUAUAUCGGAACGUGCCCAGUCGUGGGGGAUAACGUAGCGAAAGCUACGCUAAUACCGCAUACGAUCUACGGAUGAAAGCGGGGGAUCGCAAGACCUCGCGCGAUUGGAGCGGCCGAUAUCAGAUUAGGUUGUUGGUGAGGUAAAAGCUCACCAAGCCUGCGAUCUGUAGCUGGUCUGAGAGGACGACCAGCCACACGGGACAUGAGACACGGUCCAGACGCCUACGGGAGGCAGCAGUGGGGAAUUUUGGACAAGGUACGCAAGUCUGAUCCAGCAAUGCCGCGUGCAGGACGAAGGCCUUCGGGUUGUAAACUGCUUUUGUACGGAACGAAACGGUGAGCUCUAAUACGGUUUGCUAAUGACGGUACCGUAAGAAUAAGCACCGGCUAACUACGUGCCAGCAGCCGCCGUAA
rnacentral:rRNA from 1 species